rnacentral:rRNA from 1 species
UACGUAGGGUGCGAGCGUUAAUCGGAAUUACUGGGCGUAAAGCGUGCGCAGGCGGUUAUGUAAGACAGAUGUGAAAUCCCCGGGCUUAACCUGGGAACUGCAUUUGUGACUGCAUAGCUAGAGUACGGUAGAGGGGGAUGGAAUUCCGCGUGUAGCAGUGAAAUGCGUAGAUAUGCGGAGGAACACCGAUGGCGAAGGCAGCCCCCUGGGAUAACACUGACGCUCAUGCACGAAAGCGUGGGGAGCAAACAGGAUUAGAAACCCCGGUAGU